UCGCCUGUUUAUCAAAAACAUAGCCAUUAGAUGAUACUAUAUGGUUUUACCUGCCCAAUGUUACGAUGAAUGGCCGCGGUACCCUGACCGUGCUAAGGUAGCGUAAUCAGUUGACCUUUAAAUGAGGUCAGGAAUGAAUGGAAUAACCGGGUUUAGCUGUCUCCAAAUCAUUAUAUUGAAUUUACUAUCUAAGUGAAAAAGCUUAGGACUUAAAAAAGGAGGAGAAGACCCUUAGAAUUUUUUUAAAAAGGAUUUUAAUUUCCUUACAGUUUUAUUGGGGCGAUAAAGAAAUAAUUAAAACUUUCUUUUUUAACAAGCCGAUUGUAUUAAGUAAGAAUAAAUUACCUGAGGGAUAACAGCAUAAUUCUACAAUUGAGUUUGUGACCUCGAUGUUGGACUAGGAAACCAGUAGGCUAGCCGUUUACUGUGUUAGGUUCUGUUCGAACUUUUAUUCCU
rnacentral:rRNA from 1 species